AGCAGCAGCCGCGGGAAUACAGAGGGUGCGAGCGUUAAUCGGAUUUACUGGGCGUAAAGCGUGCGUAGGCGGCUUUUUAAGUCGGAUGUGAAAUCCCUGAGCUUAACUUAGGAAUUGCAUUCGAUACUGGGAAGCUAGAGUAUGGGAGAGGAUGGUAGAAUUCCAGGUGUAGCGGUGAAAUGCGUAGAGAUCUGGAGGAAUACCGAUGGCGAAGGCAGCCAUCUGGCCUAAUACUGACGCUGAGGUACGAAAGCAUGGGGAGCAAACAGGAUUAGAUACCCGUGUAGUCCCUGUCUCUUAUAC
rnacentral:rRNA from 1 species